rnacentral:rRNA from 1 species
GUAGGUGGCAAGCGUUGUCCGGAAUUACUGGGCGUAAAGCGCGCGCAGGCGGUUCUUUAAGUCUGAUGUGAAAGCCCACGGCUCAACCGUGGAGGGUCAUUGGAAACUGGAGAACUUGAGUACAGAAGAGGAAGGCGGAAUUCCACGUGUAGCGGUGAAAUGCGUAGAGAUGUGGAGGAACACCAGUGGCGAAGGCGGCUUUCUGGUCUGUAACUGACGCUGAGGCGCGAAAGCGUGGGGAGCAAACAGGGAUUAGAUACCCUGGUAGUCCACGCCGUAAACGAUGAGUGCUAAGUGUUAGGGGGUUUCCGCCCCCUUAGUGCUGCAGCUAACGCAUUAAGCACUCCGCCUGGGGAGUACGGCCGCAAGGCUG